rnacentral:ncRNA from 1 species
AUUCGGGUGUCCGGCGUGUGCGCCGGAAGAAUUGGAAAGUUCGGUUGGAAACCGACGCUGGCCCGCAACCGUGAAAGGGGACGAUUCCGCAUACGCCACUGCGGUUCCGCCGUGGGAAGGCGCGGAAGAGGGGGAACCUUGAGCCGGGAAGCCAGCCCGAC